AAAAUGGCCUUCGUUUGGAGACACUCCAAAGUGUGUUGGAUACCAUGUUUUGAGGAAGCUGAAAAGUGACCAAAACGUUCAUUAUGAAAGCCUCAAUCUUUUAGUGUCAUUAAAAUCUUCAUAUAAAUCAAGAAGAUGAUUUGAAACUCCAUUUUUCAAAUUGAAGACACUUCAGUUUUAACCCCUG